AUUGAACGCUGGCGGAAUGCUUUACACAUGCAAGUCGAGCGGCAGCGCGGGGGCAACCCUGGCGGCGAGCGGCGAACGGGUGAGUAACAUAUCGGAACGUACCCAGUCGUGGGGGAUAACUAUCCGAAAGGAUAGCUAAUACCGCAUACGACCUGAGGGUGAAAGCGGGGGACCGUAAGGCCUCGCGCGAUUGGAGCGGCCGAUAUCGGAUUAGCUAGUUGGUGAGGUAAAGGCUCACCAAGGCGACGAUCCGUAGCUGGUCUGAGAGGACGACCAGCCACACUGGAACUGAGACACGGUCCAGACUCCUACGGGAGGCAGCAGUGGGGAAUUUUGGACAAUGGGGGGCAACCCUGAUCCAGCAACGCCGCGUGAGGGAAGAAGGCUUUCGGGUUGUAAACCUCUGUCCUUGGUGACGAAACAAAUGACGGUAGCCAAGGAGGAAGCCCCCGGGCUAACUACGUGCCAGCAGCCGCGGUAAU
rnacentral:rRNA from 1 species